ACAGUACAACCAUCUUUUAAGUACUUCACUCACUGGGAUUAUUAUCUCAUAUUUUCCUGAACUUUUCCUUAUAGGAGGCUGUUGACUGAGCGGUGGUGGAGAUUAUUUUGAUAGUUUUGCAGACAUUGCUACCACCAAUUGUUAAGGAUGCGCAGUGGCAGAGCGGGCAGGCGUCGAAACCAACUACCUGAAAAUCCAAAUGCCCCUGCAAGAGAAGAUGUAGGUGAGGCAUCAGUUCAUCAGACGCAAGGACUGCCGACACAGGGUAAUGUGGUUGGAAAUGAUCCCCUAUUCGACAGACUCGCUACAGCCAUUGCAUCUAUUCUUCCCAACCCAGAUAGAGAUACUAGCAUUGAGAGGGCAAUUAAGCUCGGUGCUAAACAUUUUGUGGGCACAGCUAACCCUGCUGAUGCUGAGGAAUGGAUGAGAAAUUUAGAAAGUAUUUUUGAUGUUAUGGGUUGUUCUGAGGAAAAGAAACUACGCCUUGCUACUUUCUUGCUGAAAGGUGUGGCAGCUGACUGGUGGGUUGCUUUUCGAAGUAGGUAUCAUGAAGCCAGUGGCAUCACAUGGGCUAUUUUUAGAGAUGCUUUCUUUGAGACUUAUUAUCCUCAUUCAUACAAGAAUGCCAAGCAAAAUGAGUUCUUGAGACUGACUCAAGGUUCAAUGACUGUUUCUGAAUAUCACACCAAGUUUGUAGAGCUUUCAAAGUAUGCAUUGGUUCUAGUAAAUGAGGAGAAUGACAAAUGCAGACGAUUCAAAGAGAACUUGAGGCCUGAUAUUAGGGCGAUAGUGACAGGGCAGGGACAUGCCAGAUUUGGUCCAGUAGUUGAGGCGGCCUUGAGAGUCGAAGCAGCAUUACAAGCAGGACAGAGUCAGGGGAUUCAGUUAGCUAUUCGAGGAAAUCAAAGUCAGAUAGGAACCUCUAGUGGACAGCAUAAAAAGAACAGAGGAAGAUUUUGGCCUGGUGUUACUCAUACUGGGAGUUUUAAGUCGAGAUCUCAGAGUUUUGGUUCCAGUCAAGAAUCCGGUCGUAGUCAGAACUCCGUCAACCAGCUAGCACAUCGUCAGUCUUCAGUUCAGAGGGCUACAGCCUCGAGACCUAUCGACGGCCUUAGUAGUACUCGAUAUCCGCCUUGUCAGAUUUGUGGGAAACUCCAUCUUGGUAAGUGUCUUAAGGGUACCAAUGGAUGCUUUUUGUGCGGACAGGAAGGACAUUUAAGGAAAGACUGUCCAGUCCGAUUUCAGGAGAGAGGCUCAUCUCAGGGGACAAGUAUACAGAUAGGGACUAGUGAUGCCAGAUCGAGACAGAAUAAAAAGGGAAUUCCAACAAGUAAUGUAGGUUCGACUAGUAGAGUACAGUCUGAUAUGGCUGGUGGCAGUGAUUCCAGGCAGAGGGGACAGACAGGACGUACUUAGAGUCAGGGCAGAGUGUUUGCUAUGACACAACAGGAGGCCGAGGAAUCACCUGACGUAGUUAUGGGAGGGGAUUUGGACGUGACGUGGGAACAGCGUAUCAGCCCCGUUAGUCCAGCCUAUACUUGUGAGUGAAGAAUCUAUAUUUUCAAAAAGAAGAUUUUCUUUUUAUUUUAUAGAAGCAUGUUAAUUAAAUGGAAUGCUUUAUUUUCGAGAAAUAGUAAAUGAGUAUGAUUGUUUUGGAAUUAUCAUAAAAUAAUUGAUGUGAUUAUCUUACUCUAAUGCACUGAGGGGCUACGGCCGUGUAUUAGAGUCAUGUAUUUAACUCUUAUCCACUGAGGAGCUACGGCCGUGGGUAAAGUUAUCCAUUAUAUAUUGAGGGGCUACAGCCGUGUGUAAGGGUAACUCUUAUCCACUGAGGGGCUAUGGCCGUGGGUAAAGUUAUCCAUUAUACACUGAGGGGCUACAGCCGUGUAUAAUGAUGAUUAUGUUAUUCCCAUCUUGUUCACUGAGGGGCUACGGCCGUGUACAGAAUAUUGAUCAGACGGUUUAUGUACAUAUGAUUUAUGGCUUUCAGAUCAUUAGUAGAUGUUUACGUGGGAUCUAUAUUUUGAUGUGAAUUUUAAUUAUAUAGUGGAUUAUUAGUCUUCAGCUUA